rnacentral:misc_RNA from 1 species
AACUUUCGGCAAUGGAUCUCUUGGCUCUCGCAACGAUGAAGAACGCAGCGAGAUGCGAUACGUAUCAUGAAUUGCAGAACUCUGAAUGAUAAAUGUUUGAACGCACAUUGCGCCAGCUUCUGGUUGGCAUGUCUGUCUGAGAAUCUUUUUAAGUUUACUCUUUGAACAAUGUGUUCAUGAGGCCUUGACAGCUCUACGUUUGUUUGGCUGUUGAAAAUUAAAACCCAUCUGCUUCAGCUAUUGAGAGUUGGUGAAUUUGACCAAAGCAACUUUGCGCAACCUCAGGCUAGCCAAGCAUACUUGGUCUCAGAUCAGACAGGAGGACCCGCUGAACUUAAGCAUAUCAAUAAGCGGAGGCU